GGCCUACCAUGGUGGUAACGGGUAACGGGGUGUUAGGGCACGACACCGGAGAGGGAGCCUGAGAUACGGCUACCACAUCCAAGGAUGGCAGCAGGCGCGCAAAUUACCCAAUCCCGACACGGGGAGGUAGUGACAAUAAAUAACAAUACGGGGUUCUUUAGGAUCUCGUAAUUGGAAUGAGUACAAUUUAAAUCUCUUAACGAGGAACAAUUGGAGGGCAAGUCUGGUGCCAGCAGCCGCGGUAAUUCCAGCUCCAAUAGCGUAUAUUAAAGUUGUUGCAGUUAAAAAGCUCGUAGUUGAAUUUCGGGGUUAGUAAGUUGGUCAUGCCUUCGGUAUGUACUGGCUUUACUGAUUCCUCCUUCUUGACGAACCGUGAUGUCAUUAAUUUGGUGUUGCGGGAAAUCAGGACUGUUACUUUGAAAAAAUUAGAGUGUUUAAAGCAGGCUAACGCUUGAAUACAUUAGCAUGGAAUAAUGAAAUAGGACGUUAAUCCUAUUUUGUUGGUUUCUAGGAUCGACGUAAUGAUUAAUAGGGAUAGUUGGGGGCAUUAGUAUUCAAUUGUCAGAGGUGAAAUUCUUGGAUUUAUUGAAGACUAACUACUGCGAAAGCAUUUGCCAAGGAUGUUUUCAUUAAUCAAGAACGAAAGUUAGGGGAUCGAAGACGAUCAGAUACCGUCGUAGUCUUAACCAUAAACUAUGCCGACUAGGGAUCGGAUGAUGUUAUUUUUAAUGACUCAUUCGGCGCCUUACG
rnacentral:rRNA from 1 species